UUUUCAGUUUUCCUCGGCAGUUAACUGCAGCCGGUUCCAUAAUUUGACAGUUAACUGCCGAGAGAUAU
rnacentral:pre_miRNA from 1 species